GGGCCAUGACCUCCGCCUAG
rnacentral:siRNA from 1 species